rnacentral:lncRNA from 1 species
UGAUAAUGGGUUCUCCCUCAGGGUUUGCCGGCAGCGAGUGACAAUGGGUUCCUGCACGAACACAGAUUCUACACCAAUGGCACNAUCAACACCUGAUAAAAACGUGUUUCCAUCAAAAUAAAGGCAAAGGAGAAAAGAAGCCGAGAAGAGAAGAAGGGAGAAGGAACGUGAAACCUGAAAAUGGAAGUCCUGAAACGAAGGAGAAACGGGACCCUUAACGCACUGUGAACGGAGGAGAAGAAGCCCUAAAGUAAUGUGAACGGAGGAGAAGGAGCCUAACGUUGAUGAAACGAAGGACAGGAGCCCUAGCCACUGAUCAAACGGAGGAGAAGCGCGAAUCAAACCAACGAACAGCGCGAAGAAGCAAUNCGAAGAGUGAAAACGAGGAGCAGCACGAGGAAGCUUGGAGCGAACGUCAAAUUGGAAGCAGAGUGUAGUAGCGGGAGGAAGCAGUUUUUUAAUCCCCAUAGAUAGCGCUCCCUACAACAAGCGCUAUCUAUUUUGCUUUUAUUAUUAUAUUUUAAAAUAUUAAUUAAAAAAAUAAUAUUAAAUAGAUAUAGAUAGCGCCUUUUUAAACAAGCGCUAUCUAUGAUCAUAGUCAUAGAUAGCGCGCUUUCUAACAAGCGCUAUCUAUGCUUCUGCAUAUUAAUAGAUAGCGCUUAUUGUAAAAAGCGCUAUCUAUUGAGCGCUAUCUAUUUUCCAUUUUG